GGAUUGCCCUAGUAACGGCGAGUGAAGCGGCAACAGCUCAAAUUUGAAAUCUGGCCCUUUCAGGGUCCGAGUUGUAAUUUGUAGAGGGUGCUUUGGCGUUGGCUGUGGUCUAAGUUCCUUGGAACAGGACGUCGCAGAGGGUGAGAAUCCCGUAUGUGGCCGCCAGUCUUCGCCGUGUAAAGCCCCUUCGACGAGUCGAGUUGUUUGGGAAUGCAGCUCUAAAUGGGAGGUAAAUUUCUUCUAAAGCUAAAUAUUGGCCAGAGACCGAUAGCGCACAAGUAGAGUGAUCGAAAGAUGAAAAGCACUUUGGAAAGAGAGUCAAAAAGCACGUGAAAUUGUUGAAAGGGAAGCGCUUGCAGCCAGACUUGCCUGUAGUUGCUCAUCCGGGCUUUUGCCCGGUGCACUCUUCUAUGGGCAGGCCAGCAUCAGUCCCAGCGGUUGGAUAAAUGCCUGUUGAA
rnacentral:rRNA from 1 species